rnacentral:rRNA from 1 species
AGUGAACGCUGGCGGUAGGCCUAACACAUGCAAGUCGAACGGCAGCACAGUAAGAGCUUGCUCUUACGGGUGGCGAGUGGCGGACGGGUGAGGAAUACAUCGGAAUCUACUUUUUCGUGGGGGAUAACGUAGGGAAACUUACGCUAAUACCGCAUACGACCUACGGGUGAAAGCAGUGGAUCUUCGGACCUUUCGCGAUUGAAUGAGCCGAUGUCGCAUUAGCUAGUUGGCGGGGUAACGGCCCACCAAGGCGACGAUCCGUAGCUGGUCUGAGAGGAUGAUCGGCCACACUGGAACUGAGACACGGUCCAGACUCCUACGGGAGGCAGCAGUGGGGAAUAUUGGACAAUGGGCGAAAGCCUGAUCCAGCCAUACCGCGUGGGUGAAGAAGGCCUUCGGGUUGUAAAGCCCUUUUGUUGGGAAAGAAAAGCAGCAGGUUAAUACCCCGCUGUUCUGACGGUACCCAAAGAAUAAGCACCGGCUAACUUCGUG